rnacentral:rRNA from 1 species
UACGUAGGGGGCAAGCGUUGUCCGGAAUCAUUGGGCGUAAAGAGCGUGUAGGCGGCCAGAUAAGUCCGCUGUCGAAAUCGUCGAGGCUCAACUUCGAGCUGUCGGUGGAAACUGUCUGGCUAGAGUCCGGAAGAGGAGAAUGGAAUUCCUGGUGUAGCGGUGAAAUGCGCAGAUAUCAGGAAGAACACCCGUGGCGAAGGCGGCUCACUGGCCCGGUACUGACGCUGAGGUGCGAAAGCGUGGGGAGCAAACAGG